UUGUUCCUUAACUUUGACUCUGAAGCCUUGAGAAAAACCAAAGUCUAAAGUUGGGAAGGAAACUAAGCAGGGUCAGGCAUGGUUAGUACUUGGAUGGGAGACCACCUAGGAAGACCAGGUGAGGUAGAAG
rnacentral:rRNA from 1 species